rnacentral:rRNA from 1 species
UACAGAGGUGGCUAGCGUUGUUCGGAAUUACUGGGCGUAAAGGGCGCGUAGGCGGCUUGGUCAGUCCCGUGUGAAAUCCCUCGGCUCAACUGAGGAACUGCACGGGAAACUGCCUGGCUUGAGUUCGGGAGAGGGAAGCGGAAUUCCGGGUGUAGCGGUGAAAUGCGUAGAUAUCCGGAGGAACACCGGUGGCGAAGGCGCUUCCUGGACCGACACUGACGCUGAGGCGCGAAAGCUAGGGGAGCAAACGGG